rnacentral:rRNA from 1 species
GCCGGAUUAGCUGGAGAGGUGGUGCAUGGCCGUCGUCAGUUCGUACUGUGAAGCAUCCUGUUAAGUCAGGCAACGAGCGAGACCCACGCCCACAGUUGCCAGCGUACUCUCUGGAGUGACGGGUACACUGUGGGGACCGCCGCUGCUAAAGCGGAGGAAGGAAUGGGCAACGGUAGGUCAGUAUGCCCCGAAUAUCCCGGGCUACACGCGAGCUACAAUGGUUGGUACAAUGGGUAUCUACCCCGAAAGGGGACGGGAAUCUCCUAAAACCAAUCUUAGUUCGGAUUGAGGGCUGCAACUCGCCCUCAUGAAGCUGGAAUCCGUAGUAAUCGCGUUUCAACAGAACGCGGUGAAUACGUCCCUGCUCCUU